rnacentral:tRNA from 1 species
UAAGGGAUAGCUCAGUGGUAGAGUUCAUACUUAGCAAGCAUGAGGUCCUGGGUUCAAUUCCCAGUACCUCCA